GUAGCCCAGUGGGGCAUGGCCUGCUGUCUCUAUUAUUGUCCUUGGCUCUGCUCAGGGUCUCUCCGGGUAGGCACAGCACGGCCGCCUGCUGCUAUCUGGGACGAGCCCUUCAGGGAGGCACAGUGCUGGGAUUCCCAGCCCAGGUCCUGGCCUGCGGCACCAGGGCCAGACCUGCCCUUGUUCAGCGCCUCACAGGGUGCGCUCCUGAGCAGCAGGCAGCACCAGUAACCAAGCGCCGCCUGCCAGGGCAGAAGGAACGCGGCCAGGGCCAGCCUAGGCUGGAAGAGGCGGGCUUGGGCCUGAAGAGUGGGGACAGCCCAUCAUAAACCCAGGGCUCAGGCUGCCCCUAUCUUGUUACCUUGGGUAAGAUGCACCCCUAAAUUGGCCUCCCUGUCCUCACUGGGGUAAAGUGAAAAUAAAAACAGCCACCUCUUUGGAAAGUUCAAGAGGGGAGGACUGCUUGAGCUCAGGAGCUUGAGACCAGCCUGGGCAACAUGACAAAACCCCAUCUCUACAAAAAAUACAAAAAUUAGCUGGGCAAGGCAUGCACCUGUGGUCUUAGCUACUUGGGAGGCUGAGGUGGGAGGAUCACUUGAGCUUGGGAGGCUGAUGCCAUGGCGAGGCCUGAUCUUGCCACUGCACUCCAGCCUUGACGACAGAGCAAGACCCUGUCUCAAAACAAAAACAAAACCAAAAACAAACCAGCCACCUCAACGGCAGGCCUGGGAUUUCACCAACACAACCCUCAAGGCAUGUGGCCCAGAGCCUGCCGCGCUGCUGCUGCUGCUGGUGAUUACAGAUAUUUCUGCAGGAGUUGGGAACUCAGACAGACGUGGGUUGAGUUCCUGGCUAACACCAGGCUAUCAUGAAUGAUCCGAGGAUGGUGCAUCCUGGUGCCCAUUACUGCCUGCAGCUCAAACCACCCAGCCAAGGAGCUGGAGGCACUUCUAAGGCAGAAGCCAGGUCUGAGACUUGGUCAUAGGAGCCCAGGCACACAGUGGCCAUGCCACAGAACUGCGUCUCUUGACCGGCUGCGGUGAGCUCUGGGCAGCAGGGCUGUGGGGGUCCAAUCACAGGCUCCAAUUGAGGUGAGGGCCCAAUGCCACCAUCCUCUAGCUGCAAAUCACUAAGGCAAUCACUUCACCUCUCUGGGCUUCCGUCCUCCAUCUGAGAAAUGGGGAUAACCACACCAGUUAGAACUACCCUGCCAGAGUCAUUCCGGGAAAAGACAGGCAUCUUCCAGGACAUCCCCCAUGCACUUUAGGAAGGAGCUGUUGGCCAGGCACGGUAGCUCACACCUGUAAUCCCAGCACUUUGGGAGGCUAAGACGGGUGGAUCACUUGAGGUCAGGAGUUCGAGACCAGCCUGGCCAACAUGGCGAAACCCCAUCUCUACAAAAAAUACAAAAAUCAGCAGGGUGUGCUGGCCCACACCUGUAAUCUCAGCUACUUGGCAAGCUGAGACAUGAGAAUCGCUUCAACCUGGGAGGUGGAGGUUGCAGUGAGCCAAGACUGUGCCACUGCACUCCAGCCUGGGUGACAGAGCAAAACUAUGUCUCAGAAAAAAAAAGAAAAAAAAAAAAAGAAGGUGCUGUCCUCCCUGGCGUCUGAGAUAAAGGCAAAUUAACUUUUGUCCUGCAAGGAACUCACCUGUGUGGCGGGGAAAGCUCUAAGGGAGAAGCUGCCUUACUCAACCCAAGCCAGGGGCGGGAGCAAGCCCUGAGGUGAGAGUUAAGCCCAGUGCAAGAACUGGCUAGAGAGGGGAGGGCAGGCUCCCUAAGGGUCAAGAGAACCUGAAAUUGUUGUUAGUUCACGUUCGGUUUUAUUGUCCUCCUGUUUCAGCAGCUCUAUGAGGUGGCCCCAGUAAAGAGCCCUCUAAUAUCCUGUCAGUAUGUCCAGCCUUGUUCUUGGCUGGCUUUAAAAUCAGUUUUCCACCAAAUUGUAUCCUGAACGACUUCUAUGGAUGAUCGGGAAGACAGAACUUCAUAGAAGGGGGUGGUAGACUUGUCAACUAAAGCCGCAGAGCUGGAGAGGCAGCAGUGCACGUGCGUUUGCUUUCUUGGGGUCUGUCACCUCUAUGGCCCCCCUGCUUCUGUUCACCCUGUCUGUGUGCAUGCCCUUUGCCAGGGGGGGCUUUGUGGCAGCUCCCACUACAGAAGCUGAGAGUAUUUCCCCGCCCCUUGGCUUUGGAUUCCGCCAUAUGUCAUGCUUUGGCCAGUGGAAUGUGGGUAAUUACAAUGUGAUGGAAGGAUGAAGGAGCAUUUGCGUAAUUGGGCAAGCCCUCUUGCACCUACACCAUUGCCUUAGAAGACAGGCUCUGGCCAUCACACAGGACCAAGGAGGAGAAUGACAGAGAUGAAGAGCAGAGUCAUCCUAGCGAAGAUGGCAGAGCUUAGCCCAGCCUAGAUCAGCCCCCACAGCUGUGAAAACUGAAUGAAUGGAUGUUAUUGUUUCGUGGCCCUGAGGGUUUAUGGUUGCUUGUUACAUAGUGAUAGCUGACUGCUACAGUUCUGGGUUUCUAUUGAGUAAGAAGUAAAAAGGGAUGAGCUUAGAAUACAGACAGGACAAGUAAGCUGUUGAGCACAGAUGGCUUUUUAGGCAUCAGUGUUCCACGAAAUGGACAUAUUGCAAAGGGGCUUUGUGGCCCUUGGUGAGUAUCCAAGAUGGCGGUCACCCACCCUAGAACAACAGGUUGUGACAAAGUGGUUAGCAAGGUCCAUCUAGCUGCUAGACUAGAAAUAUAUCUGCAUAUUAAUGUAAUUAUGAAGUUUAUAAUUAGCUCAUCUGACUGUAUGAUUCAUAUACUAAGUUUUGUUCUGAAUACUUACAGAGACAAUUAUAUGGUUUUUUUCUAUGAUUCCUUACAGGAGAAAAAAAAAAAGUCCUGAAACUUCACACAGAAUAAGAACUCAGCAGGUAGCAAAAACUCCUAAUUAGAAACACUGAGUAAAGAAUUCCUCACUUCCUUUUAAAGAAUGUGAAUAAAUGAAUGCUAAAAAUAACAACAGCAGGAAAACUGCCUGUCAAAAAAAAAAAAAAGAUAAAACAUUAAAAAAUCCAGAUGAAAAUAAAGUGGAAGCUCUGAGGAAGCUGCCUGCUACAGACCUCGCUGCCGGAUCAAGAAACGGACGCUGGCCUCCGAAGGGCUCAGCACAUGCCUGAGGGGAGCCUCUGGUGCAUCAGGAGGUCAGGCCCAGGUUAUUGCCUGAUGGGAGUAGAUACUCCAGCACGCUGUUUGCACAAGUGAGGCAGUUUCACCAGAUUUCCAGGCGCAGUUCCAGGCUUUCUGGUGGCAUAACUGCUGCCCAGGCGUGGGAUCUCUUACCACACAAGGAUUCCUUCUGGGCAAUGAACAACAGCUAAUCCGAAGAUUCCAGAACUUCCUUUGCAAAGGCCAUCAGUCAAGUCAAGCUUCAAGUGAAUUCAACCAGUGCUUACUGAAAACUGACCCCAGAGUACCAGUGGCCUUCCUUCCUGCGUCUCCUUUACCCAGGCACUGAGCUGGGGAACAGGGAAUCUUCUCUGGUCCUCACAUCACCCUGAGAGGCAGCCGUGGCUCUCCCUGCUGUAUAGACAAAGUAAGUGGGGCUCAGUUCCAAGCUCCUGCCAGCAGGUGCUGGAGAUGGAGAUUGUCUGACUCCAAAGCCAUGCUCCUCCGAUUUCACCCAAGUCCAACCACCUACCACAUGUGCAAGAACACAGAAGCCUCCUGAAAAUCCCAACUCAGCAACACUGACCAGGGCUCAUGAUGUGCCAGGCACACUCCCAUGCAGGAGUGACAGAGCAGUGAGCCAAAACCCCUACCCCUGGAAAAGCUCAUGUUUUGAGACGCCCACCCAGGGAGGCAAGCAAGGGUGGAGUGGACCACCUUACUAGCUCGGCCCCUCGGCUCUCCAGACAGAACCCUUUGCCAUGGGCCUCCCCCACUGCCCUGCCCUGGCCAUGCCCAAAGUGUGGUGCCCUCCCAACCCCUGGGCUCUGGAAGCACUAACUCUCCUCCCAGGAAGCCCCGUCUCCUGGUAUCCACCUGGGCUGGCUCCUCAACUCAAGCUUCCAGACUCAGUGCAAGCUCAUCAGAAAGCCAUUUCUGCCCAUCCUUCCCCCACUCAGAGUUAGGUCAUCCUCCUCCUCAUCAUCCUCCUCGUCCUCCUCAUCAUCCUCCUCGUCCUCCCCCUCCUCCUCCCAGCUCUCUAUGCCCUCCUCAGCCAUACAGCUUGACGUUCACAAAGGAUCUAUGCUGAGACCUUUGCAAACACCGAUUCACAAAUCCUCCAGUAGCAUGGAAUUGCCAUACAAUGCAAAGAAAUAAAAGGGAAACAUUUAUGCCACCCUUCCACCCUUUAAUGAUUCAAUAAAUUCAUGGGUGAAGUCAUUUAUAAAAACUAUUAAAAUAAAUUCUUCCACCCAAAUAAAUUCUAUGCCACUUAAUCACAUCAUUACUGAACAUUAAACAUGCACUCACCGAAAUAGGAUAGAAUACAAAAAUAAUAAGGAAUGCAAAUGUUUGGUGUUUGCUGUGUCAGGUACCAGGCAAAGCUCUUUCUACAUUCACUUGCUUAAUCCGAACAAUGAGCCUAGGAGGCACACACCAAACAGUUCUCAUUGCUCAGGAAGGGAGCGGGGAGCAUGGACCUUGGAACUGGCUGGCAUUCGAAUCCUAGCACUAGCAUUUCUAAUGGUGUGACUGGGAAAGAAUGUUUCUACCUCUCUGUUUCCCCCUCUGGUACCCCAGAGUACCAGUGGCCUUCCUUCCUGCGUCUCCUUUACCCAGGCACUGAGCUGGGCAACAGGGAAUCUUCUCUGGUCCUCACAUCACCAUGCGAGGCAGCCACAGCUCUCCCUGCUGUACAGACAAAGUAAGUAGGGCUCAGUUCCAAGCUCCUGCCAGCCGGUGCUGGAAAUGGAGACUGUUUGACUCCGAAGCCAUGCUCCUCCGAUUUCACCGAAGUCCAACCACCUACCACAUGUGCAAGAACACAGAAGCCUCCUGAAAAUCCCAACUCAGCAACACUGACCAGGGCCCAUGAUGUGCCAGGCACACUCACAGGCAGGAGCAACAGAGCAGUGAGCCAAAACCCCCACUCCUGAAGAAGCUCAUGUUUUGAGACGCCCACCCAGUUUCCUCCUCUGCAAAUGAGGCUCAUUGUCCCCACCACAAGCCUGAACCCCAGGGCCUGGCCCAGAGCCAGGCACACAUUCUCAUUCUCACUUGCUGAGUGUUGAGUGUUGAGAUUCGUCCAGUCCAGUGCAGCAUCCUGAGCCAGAACAUAAGCAGCCACACUAUAAGUUACCUUCCUGGGUGUGUGAUGACAGUUAAGAUGCUGGUAACAUCUGUAUUUUGGAUUUUCUCUGCAAGACUUAUUUGGGACAAUACGUUCUUGGAUUGGUACCUGGCUUCUUGAUAGGAUCAUGACCUCAUAGAAUCACUGGUGCGACUCAACUCUGAUGCUUAAUUGAUCCACAAAUGGUUGUCGUGGCUCUGGAGGGACCAAAUGAAUGGGGAGCCUGCCUGGGCUGGUUGCACCGUUGUCCAUUUAGUUUGAAUAUAUAGAGGGCUUCCCGUGGAGGCUAGGAAUCAAGAAGAAUCCUGAUCCGGGUUCAGGGGAAUGAGGCGGGAGUGCUCUGAGGAUGCCGGAGUGGUGAUUAACACAAGGCAGGUGCUGGAGGAGGUGAGCAGUGUCCCCCGCACCAUGCAUUUCCAUGGGGCCUGGCUGAGGUCCUGCCAUGGGGUGUGCUGCAUAGGGCUGGGGCACAAGGGAGAAUGAGACCUCAUCCCUGCCCUUGGGGACAUGGGACUCCCAGGUUUGAGAAAAUUCAACCACACAAAUUAAAACGAUUACGA
rnacentral:lncRNA from 1 species